rnacentral:guide_RNA from 1 species
ACACCUAGAGAAACGUGCAUGAGAUU